AUCUCAUUGUGGUCCAGGCGGUUGUCCAGGGAGCGAUCACACUUCUAUGACAGCAAAAGAGGAAGAGACACUGUCUCACCUGGAAGAAGCCUGGGUGGACGCGUACUGCUCACUGAGGUCAAUGUUGAUCAUCUGCAGCAAGGUCUGAACCUCCUCGUAGCUCAUCUUCCCAUCGUGAUUCUGGUCGGCCCGUCUCAGGGUAAAGAUAUUGGUCAAGCUUUUCCUUCUGGGUCAUGUUUUCUGCACGUUCCUGGAGGGUGCGAAUGCCACGGACCCACUGCCUUGCUUC